GUUAAAAACCUACUUUUGCGAACUAGUCCUAGGUUUUUUGUCCGAUCGGAACCAAACCACUGCAGUAAUAUUCUGUGGACUCUCUAGAUCAAUAAUUAUUAAAAAAAUGUUGAAUUUUGUCCUUUGGUUAGCUGUAAAAGGGUAAUUUAGAAAAAGGGGUGUGGCCAAACAUACCCCAAAGCCUAUAAAACCUAAAGGAAAACUCAAAACUUUAUGAAACUCAGUGAAAUCAUGUAACAGGUGACUCUUAACAAGCAUGCAAAGUUUCAUGGAGAUCAGACCAUAGGUGGCGCUAUAACAGUAGAAAAGGUCUCAAAACACAAGAUUUAUAUGGUAAAAGGCCUCAAAGUGUUUGAAAAUGUUCAUAUAUUCACUCAAAAACACUAGAUCUUCAUAUCAUAUGAUAAAUCUCCUCAUUCUGAACAACUUUGCCUCUGGGACCAAUGUUGUCAAUAAAGCUGUUAAUUAAAUAUUCAAGAUUAUUUAAAAAAGUUACUUUGGCAUACUUGUGAUACGGUUUAAGAUGAAAAUCAAUAAAACCACUGAAGUACAAUUCUCUAGACUCAGAAGGUCAAUAAUUAUCAAAAACAUGUUGAACAAUUGCAUUUGGGCAACUAUAAACCAAUAAUUUUAUAAUAUGUUAUUUGCAUAGUGUACACAAAGGCCUAUUAAUACAAACAGAAAGCCCACAAAUUAUCAAAACUGUGUAAAAUAAUGCAUAAUUUCAUUCUAAACAAGCAUGCAAAAUUUAAGAGAGAUUGGGAAAAAAAAAAUAACAACACUAUAACAGUUAUGUUCAAAACCAGGGUUGUUUGAGUAAAUGCAAUUUAUAACCACUAGAUGGCAGCGGAAGACCACUAAUGGGCUCAUUCAGCUAAGUUGAACAGCACUGUUUUCAUGAAUUCUUGCCAAAACAUUAAUAAAUUAACUGUUAUAACAUUUUAAAUCUUACUGAAUCAAUGUUUUCCAUUUUGAUCAUACAGAUGUAUCAGUUUUUACAAUUUUGCCACAUUAUGAUUACAGUUUAACCUGAAAAUGACAUCUAAACUCUAAAAAAGAGAAGACUUGCAAUAAGUUUGUCACCUAUCACUUAUUUCAAAUACCUAUAUCUGCAACAAAAUGUGUGUCCAUGUAUAUGUGUGUCUUUGUGUGUGUGUGUGUGUGCAUAUGCUUAUAGAGUAUACAUAUAUUAGUCUAAUCAUUUGCUGUCAGUGUGUGUGUCUGUCUGUUAGCCUGUUCUCCAUUUUGGAUGUGUUUAAAUGUCAUCCAAACAUCCAGGUUGGCUCUGACCACCUCAGAGGCCUUAAUGUGCUUGAACCCCGGUAAAUGCUGCUUGCAGCUUUAAUUAGGGGUUCAAGCACGCAGUGCUGAAACCCUAUUGUAUUUGUUAGGAUUUUUAUUAUUAUUAUUAUUAUUAUUAUUAUUAUUCUCCACUAAAACUGUUCGUGCAGCCCAAACCGUAAGGCCUAGAAAGCUGAAAUUUGGUCAGAAUGUAGUAGUCCGGCCUUCUUGUCAGAUACCGAGUCUCGACCCAAUCGGCCUAACGGGGGCGCUACAGCGCAAAAAACUAAAAUUUUGGACAUUUUUGGCCGUAAAUCGUAAACCGUUAGCCGUAGACUCAAAAACAUGGCAUUGUUGCAAUCCUUGGGUUAGCCCGAACAAAAGUGCACGGCGCCUUUUUGGGGUCUACGACGCACCGUUUUCUCGCAAAAUCGAGCUAUAUCCGAAACCUACUUUUGCGAACUAGUCCUAGGAUUUUCAACCAAUCAGAACCAAACCAAUUCAUAAAUAUUCCCUGGACACUCAAUAUCAAUAAUUAUCAAAAAAAAGUUGAAAUUUCAAUUCUUACGCGAAACAGUACACCAAAAAGCGUCUAUGCUAACGUUAGCCAAAUGCUAUUUUGACUAUAACUCUUGAACGGAAUGAGAUAUCUUCACCAAACUCGGUACACAUAUGUAUGAGCUCAAUCUUUGGUCAAAUAAAAAAAAUUGCACAUCUCUACCACUUGGGGGCGCUAUAAGAUAGAAAAAACACAUAAAUUGCUAUAACUAGGCAACCGUUGGCUCGAUCGACUUGAAAAUCGGUAUGCAGUGUCUUGGUCUGAAGGGGCACAAGUACCUAUGAGUACAUUUGCAUAUCUCAAAAAACAUGGCCGCCAUUGGCCAAACAAAUUUAAGCACCUAUUUGAAAGGGUUAACGGAUGUUGAUCGGAACGAAACUCGCUGGGUACGUUCGACUCAUGAACCUUAAGGUCUGUAAGAAUUUUGAAAGAAAUCGGCCACUAGUUGGCGCUAACGAGUUUUAUGGCUCUGUAAUCACGUGGUGUUUCACAUAUCAACACAAUAUGCAUAUCAUUUGAUAGAUCUCCUCAUAAUGCACAACUUUGCCUCAAGAACCAUUGCUGUCAAUCAAAUCGUUCAAUUGUUAUUCACAAAUAUGUUAAAAACCUACUUUUGCGAACUAGUCCUAGGUUUUUGGCCCGAUCGGAACCAAACCACUGCAGUAAUAUUCUGUGGACUCUCUAGAUCAAUAAUUAUUAAAAAAAUGUUGAAUUUUGUCCUUUGGUUAGCUGUAAAGGGGUAAUAUAGAAAAAGGGGUGUGGCCAAACAUACCCCAAAGCCUAUAAAGCCUAAACGAAAACUCAAAACUUUAUGAAACUCAGUGAAAUCAUGUAACAGGUGACUCUUAACAAGCAUGCAAAGUUUCAUGGAGAUCAGACCAUAGGUGGCGCUAUAACAGUAGAAAAGGUCUCAAAACACAAGAUUUAUAUGGUAAAUGGCCCCAAAUUGUUUGAAAAUGCUCAUAUAUUCACUCAAAAACACUAAAUCUUCAUAUCAUAUGAUAGAUCUCCUCAUUCUGAACAACUUUGCCUCUGGGACCAAUGUUGUCAAUAAAGCUGUUAAUUAAAUAUUCAAGAUUAUUUUAAAAAGUUACUUUGGCAUACUUGUGAUACGGUUUAAGAUGAAAAUCAAUAAAACCACUGAAGUACAAUUCUGUAGACUCUGAAGGUCAAUAAUUAUCAAAAACAUGUUGAACAAUUGCAUUUGGACAACUAUAAACCAGUAAUUUUAUAAUAUGUUCUUUUCAUAGUGUACACAAAGGCCUAUUAAUACAAACAGAAAGCCCACACAUUAUCAAAACUGUGUAAAACAAUGCAUAAUUUCAUUCUAAACAAGCAUGCAAAAUUUAAGAGAGAUUGGGCAAAAAAAAAAAAAAAAACACUAUAACAGUUAUGUUUAAAAACAGUGUUGCUUGAGUAAAUGUAAUUUAUAACCUCUAGAUGGCAGUGGAAGACCACUAAUGGGCUCAUUCAGUUAAGUUGAACAGUACUGUUGAAAGGAUUCUUGAAUUCAUCCCAAAACAUUAAAAAUGUAACUGUUAUAACAUUUUAAAUCUCAUUGAGUCAAUGUUUUCCAUUUUGUUCUUACAGAUAUAUCAGUUUUUACUAUUUUGCCACAUUGUGAUUACAGUUUAACCUGAAAAUGACAUCUAAACUCUUAAAAAGAGAAGACUUGCAAUAAGUUUAUUGUCACCUAUCACUUAUUUCAAAUACCUAUAUCUGCAACAAAAUGUUUGUGCAUGUAUAUGUGUGUCUUUCUGUGUGUGUGUGUGUGCAUAUGCUUAUAGAGUAUACAUAUAUUAGUCUAAUCAUUUACUUUCAGUGUGUGUGUCUGUCUGUUAACCUGUUCUCCAUUUUGGAUGUGUUUAAAUGUCAUCCAUGCAUCCAGGUUGGCUCAGACCACCUCAGAGGCCUUAAUGUGCUUGAACCCCGGUAAAUGCUGCUUGCAGCUUUAAUUAUUAGGGGUUCAAGCACGCAGUGCUGAAACCCUAUUGUAUUUGUUAGGAUUUUUAUUAUUAUUAUUAUUAUUAUUAUUAUUAUUAUUAUUAUUCUUCUGCCCUAAAACUGAACGUGCAGCCCAAACCGUAAGGCCUAGAGAGCUGAAAUUUGGACAGAUCGUAGAGCUCAAUUUGGGGAGAACUUAUCAAAGUCUCAGCCCAAUCGGCCUAACGGGGGCGCUACAGCGCAAAAAGCAAAAAUUUUGGACAUUUUUGGCAGUAAAUCGUAUACCGUUAGCCAUGGACUCAAAAACAUGGCAUUGUUGCAAUCCUUGGGUUAGCCCGAACAAAAGUGCACGGCGCCUUUUUGGGGUCUACGACGCACCGUUUUCUCGCAAAAUCGAGCUAUAUCCGAAACCUACUUUUGCGAACUAGUCCUAGGAUUUUCAACCAAUCAGAACCAAACCACUUCAUAAAUAUUCCCUGGACACUCAAUAUCAAUAAUUAUUAAAAAAAAGUUGAAAUUUCAAUUCUUACGCGAAACAGUACGCCAAAAAGCGUCUAUGCUAACGUUAGCCAAAUACUAUUUUGACUAUAACUCUUGAACGGAAUGAGAUAUCUUCACCAAACUCGGUACACAUAUGUAUGAGCUCAAUCUUUGGUCAAAUCAAAAAAAUUGCGCAUCUCUGCCACUUGGGGGCGCUAUAAGAUAGAAAAAACACAUAAAUUGCUAUAACUAGGCAACCGUUGGCUCGAUCAACUUGAAAAUCGGUAUGCAGUGUCUUGGUCUGAAGGGGCACAAGUACUUAUGAGGACAUUUGCAUAUCUCAAAAAACAUGGCCGUCAUUGGCCAAACAAAUUUAAGCACCUAUUUGAAAGGGUUAACGGAUGUUGAUCGGAACGAAACUCGCUGGGUACGUUCGACUCAUGAACCUUAAGGUCUGUAAGAAUUUUGAAAGAAAUCGGCCACUAGUUGGCGCUAACGAGUUUUAUGGCUCUGUAAUCACGUGGUGUUUCACAUAUCAACACAAUAUGCAUAUCAUUUGAUAGAUCUCCUCGUAAUGCACAACUUUGCCUCAAGAACCAUUGCUGUCAAUCAAAUCGUUCAAUUGUUAUUCACAAAUAUGUUAAAAACCUACUUUUGCGAACUAGUCCUAGGUUUUUUGCCCGAUCGGAACCAAACCACUGCAGUAAUAUUCUGUGGACUCUCUAGAUCAAUAAUUAUUAAAAAAAUGUUGAAUUUUGUCCUUUGGUUAGCUGUAACCGGGUAAUUUAGAAAAAGGGGUGUGGCCAAACAUACCCCAAAGCCUAUAAAACCUAAAGGAAAACUCAAAACUGUAUGAAACUCAGUGAAAUCAUGUAUCAGGUGACUCUUAACAAGCAUGCAAAGUUUCAUGGAGAUCAGACCAUAGGUGGCGCUAUAACAGUAGAAAAGGUCUCAAAACACAAGAUUUAUAUGGUAAAUGGCCCCAAAUUGUUUGAAAAUGCUCAUAUAUUCACUCAAAAACACUAAAUCUUCAUAUCAUAUGAUAGAUCUCCUCAUUCUGAACAACUUUGCCUCUGGGACCAAUGUUGUCAAUAAAGCUGUUAAUUAAAUAUUCAAGAUUAUUUUAAAAAGUUACUUUGGCAUACUUGUGAUACGGUUUAAGAUGAAAAUCAAUAAAACCACUGAAGUACAAUUCUGUAGACUCUGAAGGUCAAUAAUUAUCAAAAACAUGUUGAACAAUUGCAUUUGGACAACUAUAAACCAGUAAUUUUAUAAUAUG